rnacentral:rRNA from 1 species
UGCCUACGGGGGGCAGCAGUAGGGAAUUUUCGUCAAUGGGCGCAAGCCUGAACGAGCAAUGCCGCGUGAACGAGGAAGGUCUUCGGAUCGUAAAGUUCUGUUGAAGGGGAAAAAGAGCGGAGAGAGGAAAUGGUCUCCGAUUGAUAUUACCCUUCGAGGAAGUCACGGCUAACUACGUGCCAGCAGCCGCGGUAAUACGUAGGUGGCGAGCGUUAUCCGGAUUUACUGGGUGUAAAGGGAGCGUAGGCGGCUCUGUAAGUCUGAUGUGAAAAUUUGGGGCUCAACCCCAAACG